GAGAAAAUUACAGGUAGGUACUGGUGCUCGGUCAGAAAAAAUUCGGACAUACAACUACAAGGACAAUAGGGUCACUGAUCAUCGUCUAAAAAUGAACUUUCCGCUUAUGACGUUUCUUGAGGGUGACAUCGAGACGGCCGUUCAGUCUUGUGCUACUUUGGAGCAACAAGAGCUGCUGCAAGAACUUGCUGAAUCUGCUAGCGCACCUGCUUGAUAAUUUUCAGUCCUCUGUUUUCGCAAGAAGUUCUAUUUCUUCCUUCGUGGAACACUUUUCGCGCAAAUCCCGAUGGGUCCUCGGAUCAGCAUUGUUUAAAUGGAC
rnacentral:misc_RNA from 1 species